CGUGAAGACGGAGGGCUUGUGGUAGUAGUUGCAGCCGAGGCGAGACCCGAAGCUGACGAUGCCGUGCACCUGCCACCGGCCGUCAGACGCCUGACAGUUCAGUGGCCCGCCAGAGUCUCCCUGAGGAAGGCCAGAGUUAUAGGCAGGUAAAGGGAGAGGAAGGGGCUGCCCAUUGGAACCAUUGUUCUCAAUGCAUUUCUAUUGUUCUGCUGCAGGUCACUGUCCUCGGAAGCUGACCCUUGUGGUCAUAGCCCAAGGUGGUACCAUAAUUCCAACAAGAGCCAACACUUAUUCUUCCUGUGUGGCCAGAGCUGAGCUAAGCAUGUUCUAUGCCUCAUCUCAUUAAUCCUCACAAAAUCCUAUGAGAUGAGGAAACUGAGGUUCGGAAGUGGCUUGCCCAAGGUUUCACCGUGACUGACAGAGCUGGGCCGAAAAGCCAAGCAUUUGGAGGCCUCCCCACUCUCACUGUCUCAGAUGAAAUGCGCCUGCCCCAGGGUUGUCUGGGGAAACAAACAGGAGGUUGUGCUUGUAUCUUAAUAAGCAUGAAAUGCCUCUUCCACCACCGCUCACCGCAGGAUUUGAUGUGUCCUUGUGUUUACAGAUAAGCCAGUCAAGAGGGCAAUGGGAAUUAUUUGAGGGUACGUAUGUGGAUGUACCCCUGGAAAAACAUGUCAUUAUACUUAUGGGUUUAUGUCAUUAGGAAAAAAUGUCAUAAUGUGAUUAACACUCAUAAUCUCAUUAUGGUCAUAAGGUCAUUAUUACUCAUCCCUUCCUAGAAUCUUCCAAACCUCUGGUGAUUUCACAAGGGAAGGGCGGGAACUCUGUUCCUCUUGGUGGCUACUGUCAUUGGAUCUCUGACCCUUGGAGUCUAUGUCAAAGGAGACCCGCCCUCAUUCAGGUUCUGAGCAGCAAGACCUAAUGGCACAGGGGACAGCUUUUGCUAUGGGGCAUGGAGGGUCUGAUGAGGGCUCCAGGGGUCUCAGGUCACAGAGGAAAAUGCUGUUCUGAACUCUAGCCUUGGGCCACACAGAAGAUGUCACAUGGUCUCUGUAACUUUCUCUCCAUCAUAGGGACAGUGACAACAACUAACACAGCACCUACCCCAUUCUGGGCUUCCUAUGGAUUAUCUCCUUUAAUCCUCGUGACAACUCUGUGAUAUGAAAAAAGUGCUGCAUGGAGAGACCUAGUAAUGUGUCCAAGGUGUCACAGUCAUUAAGUGGGAGAGCUGACAUUUGAUCCCAGGCAGGCGUCAGCCUAUGCCAUCCCGUCUCUCCAAGGCAGCCACACACCCUGGGAUGACAGGUGAGAGGCCCCGGCCAGACAGGGGUGACGUGAAUCACCUCCCUUCCCUCCCAGGCCUGGGGGCUCCUGGCUCCCACUUACUCUGCAGC